AGACACAGCCCAAUGAACAUGUGAUAGACCAGGGAGAUGAUGGAGACAAUUUUUAUGUUAUAGACAGUGGUACCUAUGACAUCUAUGUUGAUGACAACCUUGUUGGUGCUUAUGAAAACCAAGGCAGCUUUGGAGAACUUGCCCUGAUGUACAACAUGCCCAGGGCAGCCACUAUCAUUGCCACCUCUGCAGGGAGCAUCUGGGCCAUGGACCGUCAUACAUUCAGAAGAAUAGUACUCAAAAAUGCCUUUAACAAGAGGAAAAUGUAUGAAAACUUGUUAGAAACUGUGCCUAUGCUCAAGACA